AUAUUCAUUGUAUUUCUCGUUUAGUUUUAUUUGUGCAGAAUUGUAAUCAUAAUCGAGUUUACCAUGCUUCAAUUAAUAAUAUGCAGCAGGUCAAAAGGAUAUUUUCAAAGGCUUUCUUCUAAUAUGCAUAAAAUUGGUACAGACUGCCGCUCAAAUAGAGACUUGGAUACAUCGAGAGUUGAUCAGCGGUGCACUCUUCCAUAAUAUCUCACCAAACCAAAUUCUGUACAUAUAUUCUUUUGUGUCUAACAUUCUUAAUUUCAGUUUUGUUUAAUGAUUGAAAAGCAAUCCAUGUGAAUUUUCAUAUGCUCAUGUUUCCGUCUCGUAAUAUGGUCCCGAUCCAAAUGCCUCUUCAAUACAAAAUUAAGAAGUGAAGAAUCCCCACAGAGAACCAUUCAUCCCGUACAUACAUAUCUUAGCAUCCAACCAAACAAUCCAUAUGCAAAACAACAAUUCUUUUUCUACAGAUCACAACUUCAAAAUAUGCCAAAUCUCAAAACGUAAUCUCAAAUUCAUAUAGAAGAAUAGCCUCCAUAUUUAUUUGCUUUUCCAUAGCAAGAAAUUGAAAACGCAAUAUCAAAAUUCAAGAGUAUGUACUUAUUUUUUUUACACGAUUUACAAAUUAAUAGUAGGAUUGAUUGGCAUACCCUGAAGACAACUUGAAGGGCUCAAAAUUUUUAGUUGAUUCAGCCGUAUUUUUUUUGACUCAAUAUGAAUACAAUGUGCAGGAGGAAGAAUUAUAUCACAACCAAUCGUGGCAAUCGUGGCUGAAUAAUUUCCCUCUUGAAAAAUCGACCGCAAGUUUCUUGUAAAAUGAACUCCAAUUGUGGCAAUCCUUGCUGAAUAAAAUUUCUUGCAAACCCAAGAGAAAGAAUUAUAUCACACCCAAGAAAUUUGGAUGGUGAGAAAAUUGGAAUUAGGUUUGCGCGACUAAACUAAAGCGGCCAAAUUGAAGAGGGAAUUAUUUGCUGAAAAUUUUUGGAGGCAAGGAGGCCCGGGAGAAACGUGGUCUGAAGAAUUGGAGAAGCAUUAUUUCUA
rnacentral:lncRNA from 1 species